rnacentral:lncRNA from 1 species
UUGGCAACCACUGGAGGUGGAGAGAACAUGUCAGGGUGAUUUCCAGGGCUUCCAAACCUCCUGGCUCCGGGAAGGGUGUGAGCACUGGCUGCUGCCUCAUCUGUCACAGCAGACCAGCUUACUAUCACCUCUUGAGCAAGUGAGACACGCAGGAAGAAAAAGCUUCCUCAAGAUAAGAGCAGGAUCGUAUACUGUACGUGCAUUCAGUGGAUCAAAACAUGAAGCUUUGCUGACAGCAUUUCCUUCUCCAUCCACAACGCUGGUAUCCUCUGCCUUGUAUUUCCAAGGUGUGUUCUCAACUCUGACAUUCAGGUUAUCAAGAGGCUAACACUAGCUUAUUAUCAUGCCAUUUUUCUGACUGCAAGGGGAUUUACACACAGACUGAAGAACUGCAGAAUAGAUAGAGGCAAGGGAAUUACUGUAAAAAAUAAUCCAGCCUCAUUUUUCCUCAUUUGACUCUUCAGUCACUUAUUUGUUUUCUUGGUUAGUAUCCAAAUUUAUUCUUGAGCUUGGUUUGGCAACUCAGCUUCUUC